rnacentral:rRNA from 1 species
UACGUAGGGCGCAAGCGUUAUCCGGAAUUAUUGGGCGUAAAGAGCUCGUAGGCGGUUUGUCGCGUCUGCCGUGAAAGUCCGGGCUCAACUCCGGAUCUGCGGUGGUACGGGCAGACUAGAGUGAUGUAGGGGGAGACUGGAAUUCCUGGUGUAGCGGUGAAAUGCGCAGAUAUCAGGAGGAACACCGAUGGCGAAGGCAGGUCUCUGGGCCACUACUGACGCUGAGAAGCGAAAGCAUGGGGAGCGAACAGG